GUGCCAAGCAGCCGCGGUAAUUCCAGCUCCAAUAGCGUAUAUUAAAGUUGUUGCGGUUAAAAAGCUCGUAGUUGGAGUUCUGCCAGGUGCCGCCUGUCCGCCCCAGUGGUGAGUACGUGGCGCGCAUUUGGCCCUUUCAAGGGGAGCGUAUUGCACUUAACUGUGUGGUGCGGGAUCCUUGACUUUUACUUUGAGGAAAUAAGAGUGUUCCAAGCAGGCUCUCGUCGUGCAUAGCUCAGCAUGGAAUAAUAGCAUUGGAUCUCGAUUCCAAACUGUUGGUUGUAGGAAACGAGAUAAUGAUGAAGAGGGAUAGUUGGGGGCAUUCGUAUUUAACUGUCAGAGGUGAAAUUCUUGGAUUUGUUAAAGACGAACUACUGCGAAAGCAUCUGCCAUGGAUGUUUUCAUUGAUCAAGAACGAAAGUUAGGGGAUCGAAGACGAUCAGAUACCGUCCUAGUCUUAACUAUAAACCAUGCCGGCUAGAGAUCGGAGGUUGUUCGUUUUGUGACGCCUUCAGCAUCUUGAGAGAAAUCAAAGCCUUUGGGUUCCGGGGGGAGUAUGGUCGCAAGGCUGAAACUUAAAGGAAUUGACGGAAGGGCACCACCAGGAGUGGAGCCUGCGGCUUAAUUUGACUCAACACGGGGAAACUCACCAGGUCCAGACUGGGUAAGGAUGUACAGAUUGACAGCUCUUUACAGAUUCUCAGGGUGGUGGUGCAUGGCCGUUCUUAGUUGGUGGAGUGAUUUGUCUGGUUGAUUCCGUUAACGAACGAGACCUCAGCCUACUAAAUAGUGGCUCUAUUCUCACGAAUGGAGUGAGACUUCUUAGAGGGACUGUCGGUGCUUAGCCGACGGAAGCGUGAGGCGAUAACAGGUCUGUG
rnacentral:rRNA from 1 species